GAUGAACGCUGGCGGCGUGCCUAAUACAUGCAAGUCGAGCGAACAGAUGAGGAGCUUGCUCCUCUGACGUUAGCGGCGGACGGGUGAGUAACACGUGGAUAACCUACCUAUAAGACUGGGAUAACUUCGGGAAACCGGAGCUAAUACCGGAUAAUAUAUUGAACCGCAUGGUUCAAUAGUGAAAGACGGUUUUGCUGUCACUUAUAGAUGGAUCCGCGCCGCAUUAGCUAGUUGGUAAGGUAACGGCUUACCAAGGCAACGAUGCGUAGCCGACCUGAGAGGGAGAACGGCUACCCUGUAACUGAGACACGGUACAGACUCCUACGGGAGGAAGCAGUAGGGAAUCUUCCGCGAUGGGCGAAAGCCUGACGGAGCAACGCCGCGUGAGUGAUGAAGGUCUUCGGAUCGUAAAACUCUGUUAUUAGGGAAGAACAAAUGUGUAAGUAACUAUGCACGUCUUGACGGUACCUAAUCAGAAAGCCACGGCUAACUACGUG
rnacentral:rRNA from 1 species